rnacentral:rRNA from 1 species
AUUGAACGCUGGCGGCAUGCCUUACACAUGCAAGUCAAACGGUAACAGGCCGCAAGGUGCUGACGAGUGGCGAACGGGUGAGUAAUGCAUCGGAACGUGCCCAGUCGUGGGGGAUAACUGCUCGAAAGAGCAGCUAAUACCGCAUACGACCUGAGGGUGAAAGCGGGGGACCGUAAGGCCUCGCGCGAUUGGAGCGGCCGAUGUCAGAUUAGCUAGUUGGUGGGGUAAAGGCCUACCAAGGCAACGAUCUGUAGUUGGUCUGAGAGGACGACCAGCCAGACGGGAAAUGGGACACGGACCAAACUCCUACGGGAGGCAGCAGUGGGGAAUUUUGGACAAUGGGCGCAAGCCUGAUCCAGCAAUGCCGCGUGCAGGAAGAAGGCCUUCGGGUUGUAAACUGCUUUUGUCAGGGAAGAAAUCUUCUGGGCUAAUACCCCGGGAGGAUGACGGUACCUGAAGAAUAAGCACCGGCUAACUACGUGCCAGCAGCCGCCGUAAUAC